UCCUAGUACGAGAGGACCGGAGUGGACGCAUCACUGGUGUUCGGGUUGUCAUGCCAAUGGCACUGCCCGGUAGCUAAAUGCGGAAGAGAUAAGUGCUGAAAGCAUCUAAGCACGAAACUUGCCCCGAGAUGAGUUCUCCCUGAGACUUUAAGUCUCCUGAAGGAACGUUAAAGACGAUGACGUUGAUAGGCCGGGUGUGUAAGCGCAGCGAUGCGUUGAGCUAACCGGUACUAAUGAACCGUGAGGCUUAACCUUACAACGCCGAAG
rnacentral:rRNA from 1 species